rnacentral:lncRNA from 1 species
CAUGUACUCCAGCACUCUGAAAAUGAUGAACAUUCAGGAUUUAAUACAGAAGUUAUUGGCCUGCUGAUUGUGCUUAGAGUACCUAGCUACCUGUUUUGUAAACUCUUAAAGUGUGUUAGGAGUAGUAUUCAGUUGAUUGGCUGUGUUGUAUAAUAUUGUGAUGGUUACAGCCUUUCCAGCAGCUCAUUCAUGCAGUUUGUGACCA